UAUCUCUGGAACAGUCCCCAAACGUCUUGCCAAGGGCACAGGUUUUCAGCUUUAAAGGCCAUUUCAAUUUAAGAAAACAAAAGAUGAUCCUGUGAACACUGUAUCAGGCAUCAUUACUGGACUGAAAAAAGGAUCACUUGAUGGACAUGCCUGGCGUUUUGUUUAGAAGUAUUUCUUCUCUGGCCUUAGAAGAUUAGUUUUCAAAGCGAUGGUAAAAUCAUUGAUGUAUGUCUUUUCAAGAAAAAGAAAAAAAAAAGACUCCUAAAUGCCAAACAUUUGCUCUUUGGAGCAUAGCAAGAAGAAAGGGAGAGGACCAGACGGCCACAUCCUAAGAACAGAGUAUUGUCCAGGUAGCUGUCGCCCCAAAUGGGAUCUCUUUCCAGGUCUUUUUGUUAAAGCUUUUCUUUCCUAAAUAAAACUUAAUUUUCUCUCGCUAA
rnacentral:lncRNA from 1 species